ACAGGGUGACAGGUGGUGCAUGGUUGUCGUCAGCUCGUGUCGUGAGAUGUUGGGUUAAGUCCCGCAACGAGCGCAACCCUCGCCUCUAGUUGCCAGCAUUCGGUUGGGCACUCUAGAGGGACUGCCGGCGACAAGUCGGAGGAAGGUGGGGAUGACGUCAAAUCAUCAUGCCCCUUAUGACCUGGGCUACACACGUGCUACAAUGGGCGGUACAAAGGGCUGCGAACCCGCGAGGGGGAGCGAAUCCCAAAAAGCCGCUCUCAGUUCGGAUUGCAGGCUGCAACUCGCCUGCAUGAAGCCGGAAUCGCUAGUAAUCGCGGAUCAGCAUGCCGCGGUCGAAUACGUUCCCGGGCCUU
rnacentral:rRNA from 1 species